AUUAGAGGAGAGUGGAUAAAACUGCGUGUGCAAAAUGUUGAUAAAUAUUCCAGUUGGCCCUGAAGCUGGAGGUCGUAGACACGCCAGUAGCCCACCUGGGAGAGCACGGUCCCUGGGAGCGCGCUUCCCCACCUCCUCGCCAGGACCUCCAUUGCCAUGUGUAUCGCCGACAUUCCACCUGCUCUGGGAAGCUGUAUUGAUGAGCUGAGAAAGGCAGCCUGAGCCUGAGGACAGCUUUGUGAUUCCCUGAGGAAAACCAGGGGCUGCCAGUGUUUCCAGAACUUGAGAACAAUACAUAUUGGGAAGAAGAAUGGUGAGGAGUUUGUACCAUCUCCUUACUUCAUUUAAAAAUACAACCUCAGGCAGACCUUCAAGAUGACGGAGGAGUAAGACGUGGAGAUCACCUUGUUCCCCAGAAAUACAUCUACAUGUGGAACAGCUCCUACAGAACACCUACUGAACAC